rnacentral:rRNA from 1 species
CACGUAGGGGGCAAGCGUUGUCCGGAUUUAUUGGGCGUAAAGAGCGUGUAGGCGGCCAGGUAGGUCUGCUGUGAAAACUCGAGGCUCAACCUCGAGACGUCGGCGGAAACCAUCUGGCUAGAGUCCGGAAGAGGAGAGUGGAAUUCCUGGUGUAGCGGUGAAAUGCGCAGAUAUCAGGAAGAACACCAAUGGCGAAGGCAGCACUCUGGGACGUGACUGACGCUGAGACGCGAAAGCGUGGGAGCAAACAGG